rnacentral:tRNA from 1 species
GUUUGAAUAGUUUAAUUAGAAUAGUAAUUUGUGGAGUUACAGGUGCAAUAAUGCUUUAAAUC